CGUUCCCAUCCCGAACACGGCCGUUAAGGCCCCCUGCGGCGAUGAUACUGCGUUCAAGAGCGCGGGAAAGUAGCGCGCUGCCAACC
rnacentral:rRNA from 1 species